AACGAACGCUGGCGGCAUGCCUAACACAUGCAAGUCGAACGGGAUCCUAGCUUGCUAGGUGUGAGUGGCGGACGGGUGAGUAACGCGUGGGAACAUACCCUUUGGUACGGAAUAGCCUCGGGAAACUGGGAGUAAUACCGUAUGUGCUCUUCGGAGGAAAGAUUUAUCGCCAAAGGAUUGGCCCGCGUUGGAUUAGGUAGUUGGUGGGGUAAUGGCCUACCAAGCCGACGAUCCAUAGCUGGUUUGAGAGGAUGAUCAGCCACACUGGGACUGAGACACGGCCCAGACUCCUACGGGAGGCAGCAGUGGGGAAUCUUAGACAAUGGGGGAAACCCUGAUCUAGCCAUGCCGCGUGAUCGAUGAAGGCCUUAGGGUUGUAAAGAUCUUUCAGUGGGGAAGAUAAUGACGGUACCCACAGAAGAAGCCCCGGCUAACUCCGUGCCAGCAGCCGCGGU
rnacentral:rRNA from 1 species